AGGGCAGAGAGCAGAAGCACCCAAAGGGUGGCGUAAAAAGGCCUCAGGAAAUGGGGUAUGGUUACUCCCUCUCUGGCCCUCAGCCUUAUCUGAAGCUCAUCUAUAACCCAACUGCAACUCAAAAAAUCUCAUUUGAGUAUGGCAUUACAAUGCUUCUCCCCUCAUUCAUGAAGGCGGAGUCUGAAAAUAAUUAAGGGUCACACAAAGCUGGCAGUGAACUCUAUAAUCGAAACAAAGUGGUAAGACAGAAUGCCAAUGCGAUUUAUCAACUUUUAGGUCAUACUGUAAUUUCACUUUGGCAUAUACUACUGUUUUAUUCUUUCCACAGGUGAUUGAAUAUCAGUAUUGCACUAAAAUGUAUAGAUAUUAGAUAAAAGUAUACAUGUAUUAAUUCUUAUUAACAAAGUAACCUACAGUGCCUGCUUCUCCGCUUUAUGUACUUAAGAAUCUGUUCAUUAAAAUGUCAGCAUUAACACUGUGACUUUUAUCAUGUGUUUCAUUUCACUUCAUUUAUUUUAAUCAGA